rnacentral:ncRNA from 1 species
UAAAAGUUUAAUUUUAGUUUAAAUAUUUAAUAAAUAAUUUUUUUACAUGUAAAUUUUAGUAAGGAUAAAAAUUUAUUUUAAUAAUAAAUUUAUUUAUUAUUCGCAGUAUAUAAUUUUAAUUAUUAAAGAAAUUUAGAUUUAGAAAUUUAUUUAGUAUAGACAAAAUUUGUGCCAGCAGUUGCGGUUAUACAAAUUAUACAAUUAAAUAUUAUUAGGUUUAGUAAAAUAAAUAUUUAAUUAUUAAUAAAUAUAAUUUUUUAGGUGAAAUUUAAAAUUAUAUUAAUAAUAAUAUAUAUUUUUUGAUCUAGAAAAUUUUUGUAUUAAACUAGGAUUAGAUACCCUAUUAUUAAAAAUAAAAAUUUUAAAACUUAAAUUAGUAUUAGUUAAGUUCUUGAAAAUUAAAAAAUUUGGCGGUAUUUUAGUCUUUUCAGAGGAACCUGUUCUAUAAUUGAUAGUCCACGAUUUUAUUUACUUAUUUUAAAAAUUUAUAUAUCGUCGUAGAAGAAUAUUUUAUAAGAAUUUUAAUAUUCUUAAUUUAUAAUAAUAAAAAAAAUCAGAUCAAGGUGUAGUUUAUAAAUAAGAAGAAAUGGGUUACAAUAAAAUAAUUUAUGGAAAUUAGUUUUUAAUAUUUAAUUAAAAAUGGAUUUGGAAGUAAUUUUUUAUAAAUUUAAAAAAUGAUUAAAGCUCUAAAAUAUGUACAUAUUGCCCGUCGCUUUUGUUUUAAAAUGAAAUAAGUCGUAACAAAGUAGAUUUACUGGAAAGUGAAUCUAGAUUCAA